CCUACGGGCGGCAGCAGUGAGGAAUAUUGGUCAAUGGGCGCAAGGCUGAACCAGCCAAGUAGCGUGAAGGAUGACUGCCCUACGGGUUGUAAACUUCUUUUAUAAAGGAAUAAAGUGAUGCACGUGUGCCUUUUUGUAUGUACUUUAUGAAUAAGGAUCGGCUAACUCCGUGCCAGCAGCCGCGGUAAUACGGAGGAUCCGAGCGUUAUCCGGAUUUAUUGGGUUUAAAGGGAGCGUAGAUGGGUUGUUAAGUCAGUUGUGAAAGUUUGCGGCUCAACCGUAAAAUUGCAAUUGAUACUGGCAGCCUUGAGUACAGUUGAGGUAGGCGGAAUGCGUGGUGUAGCGGUGAAAUGCUUAGAUAUCACGAAGAACUCCGAUUGCGAAGGCAGCUUACUAAACUGCCACUGACAUUGAUGCUCGAAAGUGUGGGUAUCAAACAGGAUUAGAUACCCUUGUAGUC
rnacentral:rRNA from 1 species